rnacentral:rRNA from 1 species
AAACGUAGGUGGCGAGCGUUGUCCGGAAUUACUGGGUGUAAAGGGCGCGUAGGCGGGGAUGUAAGUCAGAUGUGAAAUACCACGGCUCAACUGUGGGGCUGCAUCUGAAACUAUGUUUCUUGAGUGCUGGAGAGGAAAGCGGAAUUCCUAGUGUAGCGGUGAAAUGCGUAGAUAUUAGGAGGAACACCAGUGGCGAAGGCGGCUUUCUGGACAGUAACUGACGCUGAGGCGCGAAAGCGUGGGGAGCAAACAGGAUUAGAUACCCUGGUAGUCCACGCCGUAAACGAUGGAUACUAGGUGUAGGAGGUAUCGACCCCUUCGGUGCCGGAGUUAACACAAUAAGUAUCCCACCUGGGGAGUACGGCCGCAAGGUUGAA